rnacentral:rRNA from 1 species
CCUACGGGGGGCAGCAGUGGGGAAUAUUGGACAAUGGGGGGAACCCUGAUCCAGCCAUGCCGCGUGUGUGAAGAAGGCCCUCGGGUUGUAAAGCACUUUCAGUGAGGAAGAACGCCUGGUGGUUAAUACCCAUCAGGAAAGACAUCACUCACAGAAGAAGCACCGGCUAAACUCCGUGCCAGCAGCCGCGGUAAUACGGAGGGUGCGAGCGUUAAUCGGAAUUACUGGGCGUAAAGCGCGCGUAGGUGGCUUGAUAAGCCGGUUGUGAAAGCCCCGGGCUCAACCUGGGAACGGCAUCCGGAACUGUCAAGCUAGAGUGCAGGAGAGGAAGGUAGAAUUCCCGGUGUAGCGGUGAAAUGCGUAGAGAUCGGGAGGAAUACCAGUGGCGAAGGCGGCCUUCUGGACUGACACUGACACUGAGGUGCGAAAGCGUGGGUAGCAAACAGGAUUAGAUACCCUGGUAGUC